CCUAAAUAACAAUUAAAAAAUAACAAUUUGUCAACAUAAUGAUAAUAAUAAUGUACAGAAUAAAUUUAAGGUUAAAAACAAGUUCAAUAACUAUGAUUGAAACAAAAUGAAUUGACAAGUCUCACUCUUUGCUCACAGGUUUAUACACUUUGUGAUUAUUGAACUAACCCUUCAACCCUUAAUACCGCAACUUUUAAUUAAACACAAUAAAACCUACGCUUUAAUCUUAACCAAAUUUAAUAUUAUGUUUUCAUUUUCAUUUAAAUUAUCUUCUGAUUUUAUCAUUCUUUCUUACUCAAAUUAACUUGAUUAUCAUGUUCAACUGCGUACUUCUGGAUUUAUCUCUCUAUUUACAUGUUAACUUGAUUUCAUCUAAAGAUAGUUAUGUUGAUUUGACCGCGCUUAACUACUAUUACUUUUAAUCAUACAUUAAUAGUAUUUUGGAUAAGAUUUACUUUGUUUAAUCGAGAUUAAAUUGUAACCUCACGGCGUAACUAAUCAGGCAACAUCACUCCUACAAGCAACAUAAUUACCCGUUAAAUCUACCCUGGUAAUUUGUUAUUUUUUUGCCUAAAUUUACCUCUUUUAAUCCAUUUCUAUCUUUUUUACUUCCCUUCAUCUUUUCCAUCUUCUUCAUCUGCAUCUCAUUCAAUUACUUACUGAUUGGAAGCGGACACCUCUUCGAUAACCAUACUGUGGCCUGGAUCGAGAUCUUUGCGAUAAAUUAUUUGAUCUUCGACCUGGUGAAGGCGGAUAACGAUUAUCAAAAUAAGCUCCUUGAGCAUGGAGUUCACUGAUUACAAAUCCUGCCAAUAAACAAGAAAAGAUAUAUUAACAAUAAUUUUGACAUCAACACAACAAAGCGAAACGUUUUCAACUGUUAAAUUGCAAUCCUAAUUCUUAAGAAUAUCAACUCAACAAAUGCUUUUGUUCCGAAUCCACUGUCAAGAUGAAUUAAUUCACAUCAACUUGGAAUUCAAAGAUCGGAAAUCAAAAUAGCUAGUAAUCCAAUGAAUAUUAUUGGACAGCAAUUUGUUGAAAAGGCUUUGUUCAAGUUGCACUUUACGGCAAUGAUAGACUUACCUAAGAUGAAUAGGAAUCCGAAUGUAAUUAUCCUCAUGAUUUACCAAAUAAGCUCGAUUUGUUGAACAAUAUGAUGAACUUGGGAGAAUCGAUGAACACUGAUAUUAUUCCUUAAUAUGCGUCGAUUUGUACCCGCUGUGUACAGAUGAAUGAACAAAGUUAAAAUUUACUUGCAACAGAAGACUUGGAUUUUUGCUUUGCUGUUGAUUUCACUGGUGAAACUGGCAAAUAACUAACUUUGAUAUUGUUACAAGAUGAAGAUGAUUCGAACUGAUGUACAAUUUAAAUUAUGUACCGUCUUUAUAUACUAAUUUUACAAUUUAAGGUGUUGGUUAAAGACGAUAGAGACACAGUGAGAGUAGGCUGUCUCUCGAACUAUCUCAAGCACAGUUCGAGUUGUUGCUGAGUACAAGUGGAUACCAAGAAAAGAAAGAAGUUUGUGGGACUGGACCGAUAGUGACCAGUUUUUUUUCAUGCAGACGAAAGUGAAAGCCUUUAAUUCACUUUCAUUCAACAAAAGAAAGUCGAAUCUUCUGGCCUCCUUUCUUACUCUCUUCAUCUUCCCUCUUCAUCAACAUGUAAACCAUCUUCACUCUCAACUGAAACAAUAAGCUCCACCAAAUAGAACGUUAUUUCCAUUCAUUUCAACAUUGAUUUUAUUUUUAAACAAUUCUUCAUCUUUUUCUCCUUGAUUUAAAUCGUCAUUGGAUAAUGAUAAAUCAUCAUCACCAUCAUAAUGAACAACAACAGCCAGACCAACAUACUUAACGAAAUAGUUUAAAAUGAAACACACAAUUGAAGGUCCAUUUGGUAGCGAUCUGAUUAAUCUAAUUAACGAAUACAAUGUUUUCUCGAUGAUCUCACAAGUUUCCUCAGAUUUUAUUCAAAUUACUACCUAUCAUCAUCAACAUCAUCAUCUUAUUUCACUCAAUAAUCAUUAUUGAACACUACAAUAAUCAUGGCCAUUAAUUUAUUUUCAUUUAACAUCUUUAUCGAUAAUCAUUACUGAAAUAUUUCAAUAUCCCGAUGACCGUGAGAUAUAUUUUGUUAGCCACCAAUUAAUAUUGUAAGCGCUUUAAAUAAUGUAAAGUACAAGUUGAAAAUUGUUAAUUUGAUUAACUUUUUUACUAAUUUCACAAUCUAUUCUUGUUGCUGAACAGCUUGAUUUAGUUAACUUUAGAUUGGGCUGCAAUCAUUGAGUCUAAAUUCAUUUGAAAGUGUAUUUCAUCGAUGUCGCCAAUUAACUCAAUUAUUUUAGCUGGUAACAUCUUUUUAAUAGCAACUGAUUGCAACUGUUGAAUACACUUGAAUAUUUCCGUUCACUUGACAAUCUGAUGAUUACAAUUGAUGAAACUCAAUUAUCUUUCCUCUAUUAUUUGAAAAGCCUGAAAUUUGCUGUUGAAUUGAAACAUUAAUUUAUGAUGAAUAAUAAUUAACAAGAUAAUGUAUUAAUGUUUGAAUUUUUCAUUGUUAAAUUUUGUUUUUGCGUGAUGUUGAUUAGUUAUUGCUGUUAUUACAUUCAGUUUUACACUAUUCCUUGACUCGUGUUUGUCUAAUUUAAAAAAGAGCCAAAUGCUGUCCAUUUAGAUGUUGAUGAUGAAAAGGAGAAGAUUUUUGAUGAAAUUGCUCGAAAAAUUUGACUGUUGAAGUUGAAUUAAAAGUUGAUUAUUUCACUUCACUUCAUUUCAUUUUCAAUUGUUGCUCUUUCAUUUUCACUUUUCAACGUGUUAAUCUUGAUCAACCUUUUGUUGCCAUUAAAACAACAAGAAUAGAUUACAUUGCGUGUUUCAUGAUCAAGUUUACUUCACAAACUCGCAUUCUAACAAUCUUUAAGUAAAUAUAUUGGAUUAAAUUUGAUGAAAUUUGAUGAUUAAUUUAAAUUAACAAUAGAUAUUUUCAAUUUUACAUUCACCAUUCUAUGUGACUAACAACAGGCCUAUUCAUUCAUUGUUAACGAAGCAACCAGUUAUUGUAUUCAUCAACAGUUGUCUCUUCCUGAUUAAUCUAAUAUUUAACCAACGUUCAUCUAAAUUUGAAUAUUUAAUUUAAAUUUAAUCCUACAAUUGAAAUUAAAUUAUCUAACUUGAUGCUUUGUAAUUGCAGUUAUUGAGCAAACCGCUAUUCAAUUGUAAAUUAUGCGACUUGCCCGUUAACCAGCUUUCACUUGUCUUGUUUACAUUCCCAUUGUUUCAAAUUCAGUGAUAAAUUGCCUUGUUAAAUAAUUUCAUCAAAUUAAUUGCAACAUUUUUGAUUUUUAUUAAAUUCCUCAAAUUUUUAUCCACUUAAAUGUAUUUAAUUAUUAAAUUCACUUUCUUCUGUGCUUUAUCGCCAUUAUAAACACCUUCAUCUAUAAUAUCAGAUGUUUUCCAAAUGGAGCCGUUAGCUUUGGUAACUGGGAUCAUUAAACUCUUGGUUAAUUUUGAAAAAUUAAUUCAUGUAAAUCUAUUUAUGAUUAAACCUGUUGUUUCAAUUUGAUCACAUUACAAGUCCUUGCAUUUAUUUUCAAAUCAAUGCAGUUUUUUGCUUGUGGUUUGGUUAUUGACUAAUUCAAAGGGAAACCUUUGUUUUCGUGAAACUAUCUUUUCAGGAGCGAAGGUUGAUUCAAGUUAGCUGCAACUGAUAACGGAUUGAUGCAUUAGAAACAAUUGAUUUAUAUUUUUAAUGGUCAUAUUAAUAUGACAAUGAACAAGCCAUUGCCAUUGGAACUGGACUCUGAUUUGAUCAUCAAUAUUUUUCAAAAUGGAAUCAAUAGAUUUUCAUUACCGUCUCGCCUCAGUUUAUUCAUCAUGUUGAAAUAUUCACAGAGCAAGUUGUCUCGCUAUUGUCAACAAAGUAUCCGAAUCUGAAUGUCAAACAAACUUGAGUUGAUGGAUUCUUAAGGCAACAAACAAGAAUAAUGAAGAAGACGAAAGAAGAGGAGAUUUAGAAGUGUUAAAGGCUAAAAGAAGGAGUCCAAAAGAAGAGAAUCAAAGAAAUAUUAAAGCAAUAAUAAGUAUUGAAAAUUACAUUUAGCUGUGUAAUUUGAAAAGGCUUAACCAAAAUCACCAAACUCUUCACUUUAUCCUUCUAAUGCUAUCCUUUUCUAAAAUUGUUGGUAUUGUGGUAUCGAUGAAGUCUCUUGUUUUCCAGUUACAGAUAAUAAAUACAAACAAAUUUGGUGGUUUAUUGGGAGUCAUUCAGAUCUACCUACCACUUGAUGUACCCAUACUAUACUUUUGAUAGUCUCUUGAUUAACCUUGACUGUGACAAGAUUCAUCAACUUCACUUUCUGUUUUAUUUGUCAAAGCGAUUAUCAACAUCAUCUCCAUCAACAGUCAAAACUAUUGUCUAACUUCACAACAAUCACGAUUAUUUUUAAUUUACCCUUGAUUAUUGAAGUCAAUCUUAAUCCUUUAUUCAACACGAAUUAUCCUUCUUGUUUCUCUUCAAUAUUAUUCUGAACAAUCAAUCUCAAGCAGACCUGUUUGACUAACUUCAAGCAAUAGACUGAACUUUGAAAAUUGAUGAUGGAUCAUUGUUAUUCAAAGCUGAGAUGAUACAAUGUAUUCCGAACAAUGUGACAAUAUUUCACACAGGAAUGAUGGACAAUCUAUCAAAGAAGCGACAAUUUCUUGGUGGUUUGGUUUCAAGUGUCAAGUACAAUUCACAGAUUUCAGAAGUAAAAUAUUGCCCUAAAAGUUUAAAAGGAAAUGUACAGCCAAUGAUCACGAUUUGUGGAACAUAUUAUCAUUAUCAUUUCUGGAAUUUAUUGUUAUAAUCUAUUACAUUAUCAAGUUUCAUCAUAUUAAGUAUUGCAAUCAUGAAAAAGAUUGAUAUUGAUUAAAUCAAAAUUUUACUUUCCAAUUUCCUGUCAAUUACCUUAAUAUCCUCAUCAGUCCCGUUUGAUU